UCAACCGAGAUAGUUUUCAUCCGCUCAUUAAUGCGGUGUCUCUCUGCAGACAGCAUAGUCUUUAACUUUGAGCUAAACAUAUUAAUCGGCAAAGGUAUUCAAUCUGUGAGGCAGGACUGAGGCAGCGUGUUGGUAAGCACAUGUAUAGAUAGCUCUGCAUCAUCAACUUUCCGUGAUUGCUCGUCGUUGGUCACCGUACGCAUUCCGUGUGUCUACAGUCGACUGGUCCAGUAUGUCCCGACGGUAGCUAUGCGUUGAGGGUCGAUUAUUUGAUUGAAAUAAACACAAGUGAGUUGGUGCGAGCUGGUGGCAUGACCUUCGUGCGCGGUGCGCAGGCGCCGCGGCGACGCCUAGCUACGCAAUAAUCCUCGCUUAUCCCCGAAUUUAUGUCAAUAAUGUGAGGUAGGUAUGAAGGUGCGCUUUAAACAAUAAUUAUUGUAUUUACGAUACAUAUCUUAACAAUAAAAAAUCGAUAAGUGUAAUGCGUUGCGCUAUCUUAUCAAUUAGAGGCUUACUUGAGACAUCGAUCAUCGGUCUAAUUACCUGCGAUAAUGUUAAUCAUGGGAGAGCGCCUCACGUCCUCCACCCUGUGACGCGCGCCUCGCCAGUGCCUCGCCAGUGCCUCGCCAGCGCCUCGCCACCGCCUCGCCACCGCCUCGCCUCGCCAGCUAAGCUCAUCACCUCUCUAGCACAACACCGUCGCGGUAUAAAUAUCAUCUCACUAUACAACAGAUCAAACUUUCGACGUUCACCUCAUCACCAAUCAGAUUUCAUCGUCAGUGACACGUAAAGCUUCUGCUAAACGAGCACCGACAGAUCAGUCACUCACGUGUCUCCUCACUAUACUUCCUCGUAGAAGCCACUUCUACACUUAGUACAGUCGAGCACAGACUGUCGGCCGAUCAGCUCUGGCAUGUUAAAAACUCUAUUGAAACUUGGCUGCAAAACAGAUAUUUUUAACAUAAUCGCAAUAAGAUCUUACCUUCUGAUCGACAGUAUGAAAAUCACAACAAGUGAAAACAAUACCAUUUCCGCAGUUCAAUAAAGCUAAGGCAUUCGUAGACCCUGUGCGUAGCAGCUCGUAGUAGCGCGUAGUACGCCUACGAAAUUCGUAGUCGUCAUUUGCUACGACUUUAGUGUGCACAAAAUAUAAAUUUUAUUGUACUCUUU